GCGCACGCUGGCGGCAGGCCUCACACAUGCAAGUCGCACGAACCUUUCGGGGUUAGUGGCGGACGGGUGAGUAACACGUGGGAACGUGCCUUUAGGUUCGGAAUAACUCAGGGAAACUUGUGCUAAUACCGAAUGUGCCCUUCGGGGGAAAGAUUAAUCGCCUUUAGAGCGGCCCGCGUCUGAUUAGCUAGUUGGUUGAGGUAAUGGCUCACCAAGGCGACGAUCAGUAGCUGGUCUGAGAGGAUGAUCAGCCACAUUGGGACUGAGACACGGCCCAAACUCCUACGGGAGGCAGCAGUGGGGAAUCUUGCGCAAUGGGCGAAAGCCUGACGCAGCCAUGCCGCGUGAAUGAUGAAGGUCUUAGGAUUGUAAAAUUCUUUCACCGGGGACGAUAAUGACGGUACCCGGAGAAGAAGCCCCGGCUAACUUCGUG
rnacentral:rRNA from 1 species